AAAAUGGCCUUAGUAAAGGCCACUUAAUAAAAAUUCACAGUGUUGG
rfam:Monodelphis domestica chromosome 2, whole genome shotgun sequence.